rnacentral:lncRNA from 1 species
UCUGUAUCGAAUAGCAGUCAGUGUUUUUGAGAAAGCAAUACGUAAUCAUGAAAUUCUUUGGUGUUCUUGCCGUCAUAAUACUUGGACUCCUGACCAUCAGCUCAGCCCAGUUUUGCCCCGCCCUGUGGGACCCAGUCUGUGCUACCAAUGGCAAAACUUACUCGAACUUAUGCGUGCUACAGGUAGCCGGUGCAGAAUUCGCAUACAAAGGUGAAUGCGGUGCAAAUGUAUAGUCAUUUUAUUAAUUAAAAAAAA